rnacentral:tRNA from 1 species
GUGGUUGUAACUCAGUGGUAGAGUGCUUGCCUCGCACAUAUGAUACAGUGGGUUCGAUCCUCAGCACCACA